rnacentral:pre_miRNA from 1 species
UAGCAGUGUAGCAGGCCCGUUUUGGUGAUAAACACUGAUUUAUUAAUAUAUUUAUGUUGUUGGGUUAACGGGGUGUUACACUAUU